CCUAAUGCUGAAAGAUAAAUCCAUCAUCAUAGGUAAAUAAUAAAAAUACAGAAGGGAAGAACUUUUUAAAUAUUGUUCAAGAUACUGUGUGGUAGUUGUAGUAGCUGUGACUGAAAUGAACAGAAGCUGUUCUGUUUCUUUGUGGGGUCACUGUGCAGCGUCACUAACCUAGCAUGGAUUGGCGUUUCCCCGGGAGCUGAGGUGCUUUGGCUUCUUCUUCCAGGGGCUUUGGUCCUCUCCGCGCCCACCUCCCCGUGCUCCUCACCCCGCCUCUUCCUCGCUCCUGCCCUCGACUCCUCCUUCUCCUCCUCCUCCUCCAAUACCUUGCCUCCAUCAGCUCUCCUGCUCCUCUUCUUCUCCAUCAUCUUCAUCGCCUCUCCUCCACAAACGGGUGCCUCGGCGGCUCUCCGGACGGUGGUCAGUUGUUUUACUCCUCUGUUGUCGUCCACCACUUCCUCCCCGUCCUCCACUAUGGGCGUGUCCUCGUUUUCAUCUCCGGCGUCCAUUCGCACUUCUUCGACCGAGCUGCCGGCCGUCGGGUGAGACUCAGCCACCUUCUGGACCUCCUCCAGCUGGGUAAGGUUGAUGUUGAUGCUGAUGGUCUUCCUCUGGGGGUUCCUCACCUUCGUCACCCCUUCCCAGAGGGGGUUCUCCGUCGGUGCUCCACGGGGGGGUGCUUCCUUCUCGACGGCGUUCGGUUUACCCCCGUGCCUAGGGUCGUCUCCGUCCUGCCCUGACUUUGCGUUCUCGCUCCUGUGCGAGGAGUCGAGGUGCCGGCCGUCCAGAGGAACGUCCUUCCUCAGGGACUCGCUGCUCCUCUCCUCUGCCUGUCUCUUUUUCCUCCCCGACCUGGAGUGAUCCGGGCGUGGCUCGCCAUGCUUUGGUCUGCCCGCCUCUGGAGCGCGGCUGGGCUCUGUGGACACGCCCUCAUCGCCUGGAUGUCUCUGGCCCUCCCUCCCCCCAUCGGCUCUCUGGCCCUCCCUCCCCCAUCGGCUCUCUGGCCCUCCCUCCCUCCAUCGCCUCUCAGGCCCUCCCUCCCGCCGUCGGCCCUCAGCGUCCCAGCGUAGGGUCGGUCCCAGGCCUCGUCCCCUGGCUCCGCCCGGCUGCAGACCCCCGGGUUGUGUAGCGGGGUACCCGGGCUGUCGUGGUUGCUCCCCCCGUCCCAGCGGCCGCGACCGGACGAGGAGGAGAAGGAGGCGCCCAGAGGCGGGGCCUCCUCCGCCUCGCCCCCGUCCGCCCGCUCCCUCUCGCUCCGCCUCCUCUUCUUCUUCUUGUGCGUCGGGUCGUCGGGACCCCUGGAGGCCGGCGCGCGGGGGGCCGGCUCCCUGUCCUCGGCCUCCUCCCGGUACGACGCCUGGUGCCCGAACAUCUCCGAGCACCUCUGCUGGUAGGUCAGCGAGCCCGAGUCCUCGUCGCUGCCCGGGGAGGGGCUGCGGUCGGGCGACCGUCGGGGGGGGGAGCGGCUCCUCUUGGCGGGGAGCCGGCCGGGGCGGUGGCUGGGCGCCGGGCGGCCGCAGGCGGGGCGGGGCGUGGGCAGGAGGGGCGGCGGCUGGAGGUGGUGGGGCGUCCCGGUGUAGUUGCCAAAGUACUUGUCGUACCACUGCAGGUACUCCGUCUCCCACUGGCGGAAGCGCUGGGCGUCGCAGCCCGCGAGGUGCGGGUGGCGGUCGCAGGCCGGCGAGCCCCGCCGCCCGGGGUCGCCGUGGUGAUCGUGGUGACUCCCGGCGCGGCGGCGGUGGUGGCGGCAGCGCGUUGCCUUCCGCCGGGACCCCCGGGACCGAGAGCGGGACCUGGACCGCGUCCGGGGGCUCCUCCGGCGGCGGGACGGGGAGGACGAGGGCGGCGUCGGGGAACGGGACCGCUUGUAGCCGUGGUGAUGGGAGCGGUCGCCGUGGCGACGGGCGGAGCUCCGUCUGUGGCGUGGGUGGGACCUUG
ensembl:lncRNA